rnacentral:rRNA from 1 species
CCCUUAGAUGUUCUGGGCUGCACGCGCGCUACACUGAUGCGAUCAACAAGUUUUUCCUAUGUCGAUAGACACGGGUAAUCUUUUGAACUCGCAUCGUGAUGGGGAUAGAUUAUUGUAAUUAUUAAUCUUCAACGAGGAAUUCCUAGUAGGUGCAAAUCAUCAGUUUGCAUCGAUUACGUCCCUGCUCUUUGUACACACCGCCCGUCGCUGCUACCGAUUGGUUGAUCUGGUGAAUUAUUCGGACUGCCGGCUGAAGGGGUUUCCUCAUCUGCCAGCGGAAAGUCUUGUUAACCCUAUCAACUAGAGGAAGCAGAAGUCGUAACA